UACGGAGGGUGCAAGCGUUAUCCGGAUUUACUGGGUUUAAAGGGUGCGUAGGCGGGUCUGUAAGUCAGUGGUGAAAUCUUCGAGCUUAACUCGGAAACUGCCAUUGAUACUAUAGGUCUUGAAUCAUCUGGAGGUGAGCGGAAUAUGUCAUGUAGCGGUGAAAUGCUUAGAUAUGACAUAGAACACCGAUUGCGAAGGCAGCUCACUACGGAUGUAUUGACACUGAGGCACGAAAGCGUGGGGAUCAAACAGG
rnacentral:rRNA from 1 species